rnacentral:rRNA from 1 species
AUGGAUGAGCCUGCGUUGGAUUAGCUAGUUGGUGGGGUAAGGGCCUACCAAGGCUACGAUCCAUAGCUGAUUUGAGAGGAUGAUCAGCCACAUUGGGACUGAGACACGGCCCAAACUCCUACGGGAGGCAGCAGUGGGGAAUAUUGGACAAUGGGGGAAACCCUGAUCCAGCAAUGCCAUGUGUGUGAAGAAGGCUCUAGGGUUGUAAAGCACUUUAGUUGGGGAGGAAAGCCUGUGAGUUAAUAGCUUGCAGGAAGGACGUUGCCCAAAGAAUAAGGACCGGCUAACUCCGUGCCAGCAGCCGCGGUAAUACGGGGGGUCCGAGCGUUAAUCGGAAUUACUGGGCGUAAAGGGUCUGUAGGUGGUUUGUUAAGUCAGAUGUGAAAGCCCAGGGCUCAACCUUGGAACUGCAUUUGAUACUGACAAACUAGAGUAUGGUAGAGGAAUAGGGAACUUCUGGUGUAGCGGUGAAAUGCGUAGAGAUCAGAAGGAACACCAAUGGCGAAGGCAACAUUCUGGACCAAUACUGACACUGAGGGACGAAAGCGUGGGGAUCAAACAGGAUUAGAUACCCUGGUAGUCCACGCUGUAAACGAUGAGUACUAGCUGUUGGAUUCGGUGUAAAGGAUCUAGUGGCGCAGCUAACGCGUUAAGUACUCCGCCUGGGGACUACGGCCGCAAGGCUAAAACUCAAAGGAAUUGACGGGGACCCGCACAAGCGGUGGAGCAUGUGGUUUAAUUCGAUGCAACGCGAAGAACCUUACCUGGUCUUGACAUCCUGCGAACUUUCUAGAGAUAGAUUGGUGCCUUCGGGAACGCAGUGACAGGUGCUGCACGGCUGUCGUCAGCUCGUGUUGUGAAAUGUUGGGUUAAGUCCCGCAACGAGCGCAACCCCUAUUGAUAGUUACCAUCAUUAAGUUGGGUACUCUAUUGAGACUGCCGCUGACAAGGCGGAGGAAGGUGGGGACGACGUCAAGUCAUCAUGGCCCUUACGACCAGGGCUACACACGUGCUACAAUGGGUAUUACAGAAGGGCU